AAAAAAAUUAUAAAAUUAUUAGUAACUUGUUGUUAAAAAAUGGAUAUAAUAAGUCUUUCAUUAACGCGAUUGUAGGAAAAUUUAGACAGGAAUUGUGACAUCCAUGUGGAGUGACGUGUUUUCGGCCGUUAACAAAAAAUUAAAAUUAAAAAACUAAUUAGAGGAUGUAAUUUAAUAAUCACAAAGAUGUAUUGAUGCGACUAUAUACACGAGAAUACAAGAAAUUGGAGAACAAAAUGUAAAU